UACGUAGGCAGCAAGCGUUGUUCGGAGUUACUGGGCGUAAAGAGUGCGUAGGCGGCGUCGAAAGUUUGGCGUGAAAUCUCCCGGCUUAACUGGGAGGGUGCGCCGAAAACUGCGGUGCUGGAGUGUGGGAAAGGCAAGCGGAAUUCCUGGUGUAGCGGUGAAAUGCGUAGAUAUCAGGAGGAACACCAAUGGCGAAGGCAGCUCGCUGGAACGGUACUGACGCUGAGGCGCGAAAGCGUGGGGGAGCAAACAGG
rnacentral:rRNA from 1 species